UUUAUUAUAUAUGGAGACUGUAAAAAAAGGUAACAGUUAUGCUACCUAUAUGACAAACCUAGGAGACUUUGCUGUAAGAGAAUUAAUCAUGUUUUUGUUUUCUUUUCUCAGGUCCGGUCAGUACCCACCACCCUUCCCUGUUAACAUCACCCACAGUUUAUACUUUUUCUUAGAAAACCAACAGCUCUUUUAAAAACCACUUCAAUAGACCCUUUUACAGCCCACGUGAUCAAAUAGCCUGCGUGCGCAUUUUGGCAUCGGAAGUGAUGUUAUUUCCCAGUGGUUCUAACGUGUAAGCAACUCAGAGAGUUUAUUAAAACGAUUUCCCCACAUCAAAACGUCUGGUUGCAGCAUUUGGUUGCACUAAUAUAAUAUUCGUUUAGUAUUUGGCCAUCUUCUAACGUCUUCUAUCCACUAUAGUACACGGAUCUGGUAACUGUGUAGAAGAUAAGUCAACUUUUUAAACUAACUUUCUCUGUCUGUGUUGCUUCACUGCUGAUUCUUGCCGUGCUUCCGUUGCCAAACUGCGUGCGCAUACGUUGCCACGUCAUCAUUGUGUACAAACAGUAAAAGGGUCACUCACUCACUCUUUCGCAAGCUUCUCUGUUUUCAAUAUUGUUGAAAUGGCUGCUGAGCAAGACAGAGGGAGAGCAGAGGGUGUUAUUUUCAUAGCAGACAUGCUUCUUGCUCAAAUCAAGGUGAGUAUAUUUGUUGAGAUUGUGUUCUUGCAGUAUUGUGAUAAUUCUAAAGUGUGUGAUUUAGAGUGCAAUAAUUGUGUGAACUGCUCAAGAGUUGGCUGUAUUUCAGUAUUACCAUACAAGGCACACUUUCUUUUAUGGUGGAGAAAAUGCUGAAGGACGUCCACUACCAAAAAGAAGCAGAAGUGAAGAGAUACAAAGCUUCAGCUACAGGUAUCCAUGUUUUACCAGAUUAUUUGUGAUUUGUCAGCCUCAUUUUUUCUAAGCUAUAUUACUGUGCCCAUUGUUAAUGCUUUCUCACAAAUUAUUGAACUUCUGUUUUCAGUAUGUUUAUUGCCUACAGUGAGACCUCCACAUUUCUGCACUUGUGAUCAUGCAAACAUCCAGUGUAGAGCACUUCACCUGCGUGGCAUGUACACCCAACAAUGCUCGCUCUUUGUGCAGAUGGCAACAGAAAAACCUACAGAUAAUUUUUGCUUUAUUAAAUAGUUAAUGUAUCCCAGCUGUUGUGAGCUUAUAUAAUACGUAAGGAAUAUUUGACAGUGGGCUGCUACGCAGCAGGUGUGCAUUAUUUUCAAAUAAUUUAAAGGACUGGAGUCAAUUAUUCUGCUUAUACCACAGUUACCACAAACAUUGCUUUGGGUAUUUUAAGACAUUUGACAGGUUAGGUGUGCGUUUUACAAAAAUAAUCAUUUGGAUAUGGGAAUGUGUGCUGGCACCCAAAGUGGCUAGUUUAAUAGCUUGGUCAUUCAUUAUUACAUUUCAAUUUGUCACCCUGACUUUCAACUAGUUUGUGUACCUGGAGUAGAGAAAGCAGAAGUUUAACUUUUUAAUGCUCCAUGAAUCCUGAAAAACCUUUAGUUUAAAAGUAAACCUUUAUUGUCUACAAUCAUUAUAAAGAUGCCUGUUGGUGAGAUGUAAUUUGAAACUAACAGAAAAGUAAGAAAACUUGAUAAAUAGGGCCUUGAGGUGGUUGUUUGCAGACACGGAGUGCUACUCAAAGCUCUCAAUGUGCCGGGGAGUAAUAUUUUCUUAUCCACCUAUACCUGCAGAAGGAGCUUCAAGCAGCCACAAACGGAGAGUUCUUUUGAACAGAUAUUGCUUGCAAGUAUUGGCCAUACCUUGAGAAGGCGUCAGUCUCCAUGUUGGAACUCAGACCUUUACUGCAGAUGAGACCUUUCCUUUAUGUCAUGCAUGCCAAGGCUCAUUCAACCAAGUGUCAGCCAGGAAUGACAUGCUAACUGUCCAUGCUAUUGGGUGGAACCAAUGGAAGCAAGAAUGCCUUCAGCAUUAUCCAGCAGAUACAUCAAGAAAGGCUGAGUCUCAGAGACGGGAAGAUUUGAGCAGUGAACUGGGGUGUCCUGAGAACAUUGUGAAUCAGUGGGUACAAGAUGUCAGACAAAAGGCUACUGAUGGAUUUGGUAGGUACCAGAUGUGAUGACCUACAUAACCUUCAGAAAUUAAUUGAACAAAUGUUUCUUAGUCUUCAUCGAAAAGCCAGCCUUUAUAAUCACACUGAAUCCAGCAACACCCUCACCAAGAAGAUUUUUUUGAUGUAUACAUGUCAAAAGUGCGCCUUCAAGAAGCAAAUAUCAUUGUGAUGAGGGAGAUGAGACACCACUGCACCGCACCUAUCUCAGAAGCCUGGCUAGGAACAUCAGGAAAAUGAUUUCAGGAAUGUCUUCAGGCAAAAACAGUGGCAGUUUAAGUGAAGAGUGUCAUCGCUGGCUACUGUGUCGUCUUCAGAAAAGGCUUGCAGAUGUAGAGAAGAAGUUCCAAGUUUGCUCAAGUUACAGCCAGGCUUUAGGACAGUGUUCUUCACUCCCAACCCUGAAGAGCCGGUGUCCUGCAGACUUUAGGUCCAACCUUAAUCAAACACAUCUGAAAGCUAAUCAAUGUCUUCAUGAUCUCUAGAAAAUCACAGGUAUGCGUGUUUGAUUAAGGUUGGAGCUAAGCUCCGCAGGACACCGGCUCUCCAGGAUUGGGAGUGAAGAACACUGCUUUAGGACCAAAUGCUGUUUCUCUGCUGGAGGAUGAGCCCGAGGAGAUACUGGAGGACCACGAAGAGCUGGAUUAUGAGAGUUCAGAUGACAUUUUGGAUUUGGAACUCUGAACUGGUGUAUGCAUUUAGACUGUACUGCAGGUGUGUUUCAUGGAAAACAACUAUUUGGAAACGUAAUGGAUGUCUGAUACAGUGCUUUUAUUUUAGACAACCGUUUCCUGCAGUGUGUAAGCAACAUUAGCCUCAUAGAUUGAUGGGAAACUACUGUUAAAUAAGUUUUUGUAUGAUAAUACAAUGUCCGUUUACAAGCAGCAGGUUAGCUAUUAGGUUUCCCCUCCACCUCCGAUGUUUCACAGACUACUCCUACAGUCAACUGUGUUGCUACAACUUGCAAAUGCCACAAUCCUCUUGCAGUGGUUACUUCACCAAACUGUGCCCAUAUCAUCUUGUCAACAUAAUGACAUUUACUGUAGAAAAAUGUGCAAAUCUAUUUUGCCUGUGUUACAUAUGUUACUAUUAUUGUUAUAUAGUUUUAUACUGUAUAAAGUUUUUUUCACAGUGAUUGUGGAUACUUUUGGAGUGAACUAACUGUAUGUCAUUAGAUGAAAUACUUUCAAUAGCCUACCCAUAUUUGAUGCAUGAGUUAAUACUGUUGUUACCUUUUCAAUGAAAGGAAAUGUUUUACAAUGCCAUUUUCUUGAGGUAACUAUUAAACUGUUUCAAAAUUGUUUGCUAAAGCGUUGUUUACUUUUACUUUUUACUGUUUUGAAAAUGAGAUGUAAAACUACUUUAUUUAUUUAUGCCUUAAAAAUAUAUGAUAGUUUAAUACAGGGUAAAUAAUAAAAACUUUAUAGUUAUAGUUGUUAUAAUUAAUACAAGUUUUUCAUUACACUGCUGCAUAACUUUGCUCUAGAUAAUAGUAGGGUAUUAACACUAGACAGUUCAAAGAUGAUUAACUUUUAAGUUAUGUAUACUAUAAAUACAUAUAUUUACGUAUAGUAUGUGUGAAUGCUUUUGGUCUUUGAUUAAAUGCUUGCCA